AAAACGAUAAUUUCGUUCGGUCAAAGGAAUUUUCUGGCGGUCAAGUUAAAUGAGGCGUUCGAACACAAACAUUGCGUCUUGCGUUUUGUUUCGGAGAUCUUCAUUAAAGUUCAAAUUCACCACUAUUGUUGACAAGACCCAGCCCUCAACAGACAACCCACAUUUCUAGUGCCAUGGGGAAUCGGCAAGGUUGUCUUCUGACAGACCACACACGAUAGUUCCAGAAGCCCUCAAGCAAGUCUUUCUGAACACAAACAGUUACAUGGAGUUUUUCAUAAAAACAUUGCUUCGAAUGCCAGUGGCUGCCAUGAGGGAGGGUGCACCAAGCCUUCGACGAUGACAUCAGCCAUGGCCAAAGAACAUUAUGAUGAUUAGUUAACUUUCUAUAUAACUGUUAAUUGUGUUAAUAGUUACAACUAAUAAGGUUUACAAUUUUAAUCUUACCUUAUACACUUUAAAUUAUGACUUUUAUUGUGUCAUCCUCAAAAUAAG